UACGUAGGUGGCAAGCGUUGUCCGGAUUUACUGGGUGUAAAGGGCGUGUAGGCGGGAAGAUAAGUCAGAUGUGAAAUUCCAUGGCUCAACUGUGGCGCUGCAUCUGAAACUAUUUUUCUUGAGUGAUGGAGAGGAAAGUGGAAUUCCUAGUGUAGCGGUGAAAUGCGUAGAUAUUAGGAGGAACACCAGUGGCGAAGGCGACUUUCUGGACAUUAACUGACGCUGAGGCGCGAAAGCGUGGGGAGCAAACAGG
rnacentral:rRNA from 1 species